AUUGAACGCUGGCGGCAGGCCUAACACAUGCAAGUCGAACGGUAACAGGAAGAAGCUUGCUUCUUUGCUGACGAGUGGCGGACGGGUGAGUAAUGUCUGGGAAACUGCCUGAUGGAGGGGGAUAACUACUGGAAACGGUAGCUAAUACCGCAUAACGUCGCAAGACCAAAGAGGGGGACCUUCGGGCCUCUUGCCAUCGGAUGUGCCCAGAUGGGAUUAGCUAGUAGGUGGGGUAACGGCUCACCUAGGCGACGAUCCCUAGCUGGUCUGAGAGGAUGACCAGCCACACUGGAACUGAGACACGGUCCAGACUCCUACGGGAGGCAGCAGUGGGGAAUAUUGCACAAUGGGCGCAAGCCUGAUGCAGCCAUGCCGCGUGUAUGAAGAAGGCCUUCGGGUCGUAAAGUACUUUCAGCGGGGAGGAAGGGAGUAAAGUUAAUACCUUUACUCAUUGACGUUACCCGCAGAAGAAGCACCGGCUAACUCCGUG
rnacentral:rRNA from 1 species